rnacentral:rRNA from 1 species
AUUGAACGCUGGCGGCAUGCCUUACACAUGCAAGUCGAACGGUAACGGGCCUUCGGGUGCCGACGAGUGGCGAACGGGUGAGUAAUGUAUCGGAACGUAUCUUUCAGUGGGGGAUAACGUAGCGAAAGUUACGCUAAUACCGCAUAUUCUGUGCGCAGGAAAGCAGGGGAUCGCAAGACCUUGCGCUGAUUGAGCGGCCGAUAUCAGAUUAGCUAGUUGGUGAGGUAAAGGCUCACCAAGGCGACGAUCUGUAGCGGGUCUGAGAGGAUGAUCCGCCACACUGGAACUGAGACACGGUCCAGACUCCUACGGGAGGCAGCAGUGGGGAAUUUUGGACAAUGGGGGCAACCCUGAUCCAGCCAUGCCGCGUGAGUGAAGAAGGCCUUCGGGUUGUAAAGCUCUUUCGGCCGGGAAGAAAUCGUAUGGGCUAAUACCCUGUGCGGAUGACGGUACCGGCAUAAGAAGCACCGGCUAACUACGUGCCAGCCGCCGCGGUAAUAC